UUGCGCUGCUACCAUGCAAGUCGAACGGGAAGUGGAGCAAUCCAUGAGUAUAGUGGCGACCGGGUGAGUAACACGUGACUACCUGCCCUUGAGUGGGGGAUAACCUCGGGAAACCGAGGCUAAUACCGCAUAAUAUCGCAAGAUCAAAGGAGCAAUCCGCUUUUGGAGGGGGUCGCGGCUGAUUAGCUAGUUGGUAAGGUAAUGGCUUACCAAGGCAAAGAUCGGUAUCCGGCCUGAGAGGGCGCUCGGACACACUGGAACUGAAACACGGUCCAGACUCCUACGGGAGGCAGCAGUGGGGAAUUUUGCGCAAUGGGGGAAACCCUGACGCAGCAACGCCGCGUGGAGGAUGAAGCCCCUUGGGGCGUAAACUCCUUUCGGCCGGGAAGAUAAUGACGGUACCGGUGGAAGAAGCACCGGCUAACUCUGUGCCAGCAGCCGCGGUAAUACAGAGGGUGCGAGCGUUGUUCGGAAUUAUUGGGCGUAAAGGGCGCGUAGGCGGUGCGGUAAGUCACCUGUGAAACCUCUGGGCUUAACUCAGAGCCUGCAGGCGAAACUGCCGUGCUGGAGGGUGGGAGAGGUGC
rnacentral:rRNA from 1 species